UUUAAGGGGAUGCUCACUUGAACUAUUAGU
rnacentral:piRNA from 1 species